UAAGAUCUUACGGGAGAGACUACCCAAUGUAGCGCCGAAGGAGCAAAUACCCAAUAAUCUCUCAGGCAAAAGGACCGUACGUAUUAA
rnacentral:ncRNA from 2 species